UACGUAGGGACCAAGCGUUGUUCGGAUUUACUGGGCGUAAAGGGCGCGUAGGCGGCGCGGUAAGUCACUUGUGAAAUCUCUGAGCUUAACUCAGAACGGCCAAGUGAUACUGCAGUGCUAGAGUGUGGAAGGGGCAAUCGGAAUUCUUGGUGUAGCGGUGAAAUGCGUAGAUAUUGGGAAGAACACCUGAGGCGAAGGCGGGUUGCUGGCUGAUACUGACGCUGAGGCGCGAAAGCCAGGGGAGCAAACGGG
rnacentral:rRNA from 1 species